GCUGGGUGUGGUGGUGCAUGCCUGUAGUCCCAGCUACUCAGGAGGCUGAGGCAGGAGAAUCGCUUGAGCCCAGGAGGUAGAGACUGCAGUGAGCUGAGAUCACACCACUGCACUACAGCCUGGGUGACAAAGCGAGAGCCUGUCUCAA
rnacentral:SRP_RNA from 1 species